UACGUAGGGUGCGAGCGUUAAUCGGAAUUACUGGGCGUAAAGCGUGCGCAGGCGGUUGUGCAAGACAGAUGUGAAAUCCCCGGGCUCAACCUGGGAACUGCAUUUGUGACUGCACGGCUGGAGUGCGGCAGAGGGGGAUGGAAUUCCGCGUGUAGCAGUGAAAUGCGUAGAUAUGCGGAGGAACACCGAUGGCGAAGGCAAUCCCCUGGGCCUGCACUGACGCUCAUGCACGAAAGCGUGGGGAGCGAACAGG
rnacentral:rRNA from 1 species